rnacentral:lncRNA from 1 species
UCAACCCUCCCUCUUUUCCCUCAUUUCACGUUUCUGUGUUGAUUACUAAUCACCUUAGAUGUUGUUACUAGUGGAUGUAUGGUAGAUGGAUUGAAGCUUUUCUGAUAAUUAUUACACUUUUUUUACACUUUAAGCAUGUGGUGUUGAAGUAUUACUGUAGAUCAAGUUUGUCUUCCACACUAAGAUGUGAGGAAAUUGUGAUUUGUUCUCUCCACCACAACAGAAUUACACAAUUAUCUUCUCUCAUUUUGAAACACUGCAGUUUACCAUGGGACACUGUAUAUAUUUCUUGCCAUAAUGGUAAAUGACUGAUUG